UUCUUAUCAAGAAAGGUGGAGGGACUGGCCCUUUGAAACCUUAGCAACCGGACAUUGUGAUCACGGUGCUAAUUCCAGCAAUUUUUUUGCGAAGAUAAGCU
rnacentral:ncRNA from 2 species